GUUAUUGUGGCAGAUUAGUGCGAAGAAGUUAAGUUUCUUAUAUGAAUUUAUUCCAUUAAUA
rnacentral:tRNA from 1 species